UAACAGAAUGCUAAGUCAGUGCUUGGUUGAUUGGCUUUGCUCACUGAUUGUAUUUGAUGAUAGAUUUUAAAUUGAUAACUUCUAAAUUUUAAAUUGCACUGCCCAUAUUACUGAUUCACUGUUCCUUCGGUGUUUUUUGUUGUUGUUAAUCAUUGUGAUGAGCUUUGUUAAAAUUGGGUUGAAAAAUGUUAAUCUUUCUUCAUUUUUCAUUGUUCUUAACUUCUGUUCUUAUUAAAAAAAUUGCAAUUGGUGAUCUUUUGAUUUAUUAUAUGCUUCAUGUUUUUAAUUUCACUCUGCUUCUAGGCUUUGAAAUCAGUUUAUGAUAACUGUGAUCCAAUUAUUUAGUUGGAUAACUGAUGUAAUUAUUGAGUUUAAGAGAUUGAGUAUUUUUGUUCUCAUUAUUAGUAAGACAUGGAUAGUUUAGAAUUUUCUAUUUCUUUCCCUUACUUCUGAAGUUCGUCAUUUCGUGUUGGCUUCAACUUUCAAAUGGGAAUUAGGAGCUGGUGAGUGGUGAAGAUAACAACAUCUUCUGGAACUGAGUCUGUUGUUUCACUGCCUGAUGGGAAAACCGGUUGGAUCAAUAAACCAGUGAAUCAGUAAAUAGAGCAGUUUGAUGACCGAUCCGGUUUUCAGAACCUUGAGUCCCUGCCCUCCUCUCUUCUCUCUCACUCUCACACCAAAAUGAAUCCCUAAUUUCACCCAACUAACCCUAUCAGAGCAAACACCGCCACUACCGUCAUCCCCCAGCCGCCACCACUCUUCUCUUCAUCACCGUCUCUGUGCUUGUCGUGAAGCCCCACCAGCCACCGUCACCCCAGCCUGCCGCUGUGAUCGUCGUCGUCGGCAGUGACAGAGGGUGCCAUCGUCAUCGUCGUCCUCGAUCCUCUUCUCCUCUACAUCACGCGAACGGUUACUCAAUCCUCUUCAAGUGCGUCCUCUCCUCUCUGAAUCUCUGCCCGGAGCCUCGCCUGGAAUCUCUGCUCGGGGCCUCGCCGUCGCAAACUGAUCCUCUUCUGAGAUCACUGUCACCGCCGUUCCUCCCUCACCGUGUCUCUAGUAAGCCGCUGCUUCUUCAGUUUCGAUUUUUAAGAUUCUGGCUUCUGACUUGAUUUUUUUUACUAGAUUCUGAGUUCGGAUUGUGUUCUGCGUUAGGUUGUUGCUUAAUGUGAUUCUGAAUUUAGUUUGGAUUGUUUCACUUAGUUUUUCUGUUUCUGGAUUUUUUGGAUUUGGAGGUUGAGUUGUCUGUAUUAUGAGUUUUUGUUGUUGAAAAGCAUUGAUUUUGUUGAACCUAGUUAGGGUUUGGUUAGUUAUAAGAGGCUUGUUGCAUUCUAAUGGCGAUUUCAGGCAGCUGCCAAGUGUCGAGAUUUAGGAGCACGCAGUGGUCUUCCAUAUCAUGUUGAUGACCCACGCAUGCUUCCUUCAUGCAGUAGAUUUUCUUCCAGUUAUGCUUUUUCCACAAUAAGAGAUUUCAUCAAUGUGUUUUUCAAUUGAAUUGUAUAUUAGCAACCCAAAAAGGGAUAAUUGAAUUGUAUAUUAAGAGAAUUGACGUUGAAUAAUUAGCCUUGACUUGACAAUGUUGCCAAGAUCUUCAAUUUCUAGCAGUUUGAGUGGAA